UGCUAUUUUGAGAUUGAAAGUUUUGAGUUAUAAAUUGAUUUUGUUGCAGAGGUUAUGAAAGUGCUGAGAUCAAAGAAAAAUGCAAAGAUGAAGAAAAACUUGUCAGAAUCAAUUGCCAAUUUGAAGAUGAAUUUGCUAAAGCUGUUGAUGGUGUUGGAAUGGUGACGGUGGUGGUGCGGCACUUGGUUGUUGAUGGUGUUGGAGGGGUGAUGGUGGUGCUAUGGUUGCAGAAGCGCCUCGUGCAGUAAAUGGUGGUGGCGGUUAGGCGAUGGUUUACAUGUUUUGCAAGGGGUUUUUGUUGGUGGCGUCGUGGGUUUUGUUUGGUUGGUUCAAAGAGUGUUGUUUUGUUAUGUGCUUUGUUGGGGGCAGUGGUGAUGCUGGUGGUGGCGGCGGCGUGGUCGGUGGUUGUGCGGUGGUGUUGUGUGGUGUGGUGCAGCUAUUAGUUAUGUUUUGGUGGUCGUUUUUGUUGUUGGCGAUGGUCGUGGUGGUGUUGUGGUGGGGUCGGGGUAUAGUAGGAGGAAAUGGUGAUCGUGACAAACUAUUUGGUUGCUCUGUGACCAAACAUUGGUGGUGAAUUGGGAUUGAGAUUGGAGUGUUUGGUAUAUGUGACCAACGAUUUGGUUUGUGACCUUAAAAUUUAAUAAUAUGUGACUUCAACGAUUUGGUCCGCGACUUUUGGACUAAAACAUACAUG
rnacentral:lncRNA from 1 species